rnacentral:rRNA from 1 species
CGCGUAGGCGGUUUUGCAAGCCAGAGGUGAAAUGCCUGAGCUCAACUCAGGAAUGGCCUUUGGGACUGCGAGGCUUUGAGGACUGGAGAGGUGAGUGGAAUUCCCAGUGUAGAGGUGAAAUUCGUAGAUAUUGGGAAGAACACCGGUGGCGAAGGCGGCUCACUGGCCAGUUUCUGACGCUGCAGCGCGAAAGCGUGGGGAUCAAACAGGAUUAGAUACCCUGGUAGUCCACGCUGUAAACGAUAAGAGUGCUAGGCGUCGGCAUGCAUGCAUGUCGGUGCCGCAGCUAACGCGUGAAGCACUCCGCCUGGGGAGUACGGUCGCAAGAUUAAA